AUGUCUGCAACCUACACCACAGCUCCUGGCAAUGCUGGAUCCUUAACCCACGGAGCAAGGCCAGGGAUCGAACCUGCAUCUUCAUGGAUCCUAGUCGGAUUUGUUUCUGCUGAGCCACGAGGCCAGCACCCAUCUCUGCCACAUUCUAGAUUCCACAUAUAAUAGCUCCUUGCCAUCUGCUUCUCCAACUUCAGCUUCAGGAACCUACUUUGGUUUUCGGGUGACCAAGAAAAUUUCUCCCUUUCUCAAAAGAAGAGUCAACCACACAGCGUACGUGCCUCACCAAGGAAUUCAUCUGAAUUUCUAGAUCUCUUGCUUACUUAGAGACAGAACUCAAUUAAUUAUGUGCCAAUUAGUUAUUAGUUGCCUAAGAAAUUGCAAAAGACUAUGCCCCAGGCUUUGAUGGAGCACAGUUUCUUAGUGCAGUUUCUCAAAAUAUAAAUCAAGGGCAAAGGUUUAUAAUCAAAUUUCAUAAGUUUAGAAAUCAGUUUUGCUUUGAAAUCAACAUAAUUUGAUCUCAGGCAUUUCUUGGGACUAGAGGAAACAUUUUUACUUCAUGUUGUUUGCCUAAAAAGAAGAGUCAAAAAAACAAAAACUCUCUGGAAGAUCUACAUUCCCCAGAUUCAUCUUAACUAGUGAAGAUGAACGAAAACAUCUGUCCAGUCCCCUCUUUAAAGAUCUUCGUAGGAGGAAUUCUGGGCAUGUGAAAGGAGUCAAGGUCACAGUGUAGGCCUCCGUCUACCAUCCUGCCAGGUCUGCAAGGAACUCAGGGCGUUGCAAGGAACUCAGUUCUGGCGUCCUGCUAAGGAUAAGUAGAAGGCAUUGACUCUUCACUAUGUGGUUGCUUUCAACAAAAUUUAUGAGAAAGCAAAAGGAAGUUUCUAAACUACUGCCAGAUGGCAAGAACUUGGAGCACUGAAAUGAGACUAAAACCCAAUCAGAAAGAAGCAUAACCUAUUUAGGACAAGACAUCGGGGCCUCUUGUGAAACUGAAGCAUUUCCAAAUCUUCUGUAAAGACAUAAAGUCUGACCAGACAAAAUUAUUUCCUAGGUGUAACAUUCAGAAAUCAAAGUCAUACCUGAGUGACAACAGUCUCCCAUUUGCUGUCUGUUCUUUGUUCUUAAGUGAGUUUCUUCUCUGUUGAAGCUGCUUUUGAAGUAUCCUUUUCCCUAUCUGGGGACAGAUCAACUGGCAUCGUCACCCUUCUGGUACAAAUGAUGGCUUUUCAAAAUAUACCCUUGUAAGAUAGCUGUGUAUGUGCCUAGUUUAGUCCAUUGUCUUUUUUUCUAUUGUCAUUGUAGCCACUUUUGGGGUUAUUUUUUAAAAGUCUUCUAACAGUUUUACUUACCUGUACUCACCCCUUACUUUGGUACUUUAUGAAUAGAGACAUUUUUAAAACAAACAAGUCAAAAGAGAUUUUAGGCAUUUUCAAGUUUGCCUAUAUAUAGCAGUGGUUUUUAUCUAACAUAGAGCCUACUGGCUUUCUGUUCAUGAAUUUUAAAGCACAUUUCAAUCAGGAAAGCCUCAUUCCUUGAGAAUCAUUAUUUUGUUCAGAAUGUCUCACAAAGUCAGCAUCUGAAGAAGGCUAUUUCUGAAGGACACAACACCUUAACCGGAGAACAACACCUUAGCUGGAGAAGUAAGUCCUUGCUCCUCUGCUCUGACCUGGCUGGUUUAAUAGUAUUUGGGUUGACAGCUUCACAACUGCUUAUGAGUAAUAACACUGUAAUUUGUAUAUUGACCAAGCCUUGAGUUUAAAGUUGGUUUUCUGAUUGAGCUGAUAAAUCUGUUCUUCUCUUGCCCAGGUCCUCCCCUCUUGUUACUAAGCCUGCACGUUUAUAGAAUAAUGAUGCCGCCUGUGAGCAUGAAACAAAGCAAAGCCAUCUAGACCACAAGGGGACUGAACCCCUGACUCUGGGCUCAUUAGCUCCAUUCUUCAACCAGGGCAGCUGAACAGUCAGCCAAUUAGUGAUUCACUUGGCAGCAGGGGCCAGACUCAACGUGCU
rnacentral:lncRNA from 1 species